CAGUAGCCACGGGAAUACGGAGGGGGCUAGCGUUGUUCGGAAUUACUGGGCGUAAAGCGCACGUAGGCGGCUUGGUAAGUUAGAGGUGAAAGCCCGGAGCUCAACUCCGGAAUUGCCUUUAAGACUGCCGAGCUAGCAGGUGAGAGAGGUAAGUGGAAUUCCGAGUGUAGAGGUGAAAUUCGUAGAUAUUCGGAAGAACACCAGUGGCGAAGGCGGCUUACUGGCUCAUACUGGACGCUGAGGUGCGAAAGCGUGGGGAGCAAACAGGAUUAGAUACCCCUGUAGUCCCUGUCUCUUAUAC
rnacentral:rRNA from 1 species